UACGGGGGGAGCAAGCGUUGUUCGGAUUUACUGGGCGGAAAGGGCGCGUAGGCGGCCACUGCAAGUCAGUUGUGAAAUCUCCGGGCUUAACCCGGAAAGGUCAACUGAUACUGCAGGGCUAGAGUGCAGAAGGGGCAACUGGAAUUCUCGGUGUAGCGGUGAAAUGCGUAGAUAUCAGGAGGAACACCGGUGGCGAAGGCGGGUCUCUGGGCCGAUACUGACGCUGAGGAGCGAAAGCGUGGGGAGCGAACAGG
rnacentral:rRNA from 1 species